rnacentral:lncRNA from 1 species
CCCAAAAUGGUGUUUUUUACCCCAAAAAGGUGUUUUUUUACCCCAAAAAUGGUGGUUUUUACCCCAAAAAUGGUGGGUUUUACCCCAAAAAUGGUGGGUUUUACCCCAAAAUUGUCGAUUUUUACCCCCUAAAUAAUGGGUUUUUACCCCAAAAUUGUGGUUUUUACACCAAAUUGUGGAUUUUUUACCCCAAAAUUUGGGUUUUUAACCCCAAAAUUGUGGUUUUUUAACCCCAAAUUGUAGAUUUUUAUACCCAAAUUGUCGAUUUUUACCCCAAAAAUGGUGGGUUUUGCCCCCAAAUUGUGGAUUUUUACCCCAAAAUGGUGUUUUUAACCCCCAAUUUGUGGAUUUUUACCCCAAAAAUGAUGGUUUUUACCCCAAAAAUGGUGGUUUUUUACCCAAAAAUGGUGUUUUUUUAACCCAAAAUGGUGUUUUUAACCCCAAAAUUGUGGUUUUUAACCCUAAAAAAGUGGAUUUUUACCCCAAAAUUGUCAAUUUUUACCCCAAAAAUGGUGUUUUUUACCCAAAAAUGGUGUUUUUUACCCCCAAAAUGGUGUUUUUUGGGGUUUUUAUGGGGUUUUAUGGGCUUUUAUGGGGUUUUAUGGGGUGAAUUAAAGAGUUUGAUGUGUUUUUGGGUUAAAAACAUCCAAAAAUGGCGUUUUUUGGCUUCUUUUUUACCAAUUUAGCCUCAUUUUACCCCAAAAUCUUCCCCCUUUAAUUAAUAGGGCAAUGAAUGGGAGCCUUGUGAUAAGGGCUCCCUUAUCAAUAUCAAAGGUUGAUAAGGGACCCCAAUGGAACUGAUAAGGGAGGUUGAUAAGGGGUAAUUUUUGGGCUAAAAAAGGCCGAUUUUGGGUCAUUUUCUCACCUUAGUGGCCACUAAAUCCGGGAUGCAGUCGAUCCUUUGGGAUAUUUGGAUAUUGGGGCAAUUUGGGGCGAAUUCUGCAAGAAACGUGGCCAGGACCCCAAUGAGGACACAGGCCACGACCACGACGACACAGAACAGGACGCUCCCCAAAAUCCCCCAUUUCCCCCCAAAUUUCCCCAAUUUCCCCCAUUUCCACCCAAAUUUGCCCAAAAUCCCCCAAUUUCCACCCAAAUUUCCCCAUAUUCCCCCAUAUUUCCCCCUACAUUUCCUUCCCCUAUUUCCCGCUAAAUAUCCCAAAUAUCCCCCAAUUUCCCCCCAAUUUCCCCCCAUAUUCUCCCUAAAUAUCCCCAAUUUUCCCCCAUUUCCACCCAAAUUUGCCCAAAAUCCCCCAUUUUUCCCCCAAAAUCCCCAUAGUUCCCACUAUAUUUACCCCUCCUUCCCCCAAUUUCCCCCCUAUUUUCCCCCUAAAUAUCCCCAUAUUCCCCCUAAAUUCCCCCAUAUUUCCACCAAUAUCCCACUAAAUUCCCCCAUUUCCACCCAAAUUUGCCCAAAAUCCCCCAUUUUUGCCCCAAAAUCUCCCUCUUACCGCCCCUAUUUUCACUCUUUUUAG